CUCUGGGGGGGCUGCGGAACCCGGGUGCGGGGCCCGCAGCAGCGCUCGCCCACCCACCCCUAACCCCGCGUUUCCUUCGGGACUUCUUUCCCGACCAAAGGGGCUUCCCAAUCCAUUUCCAGAAGUUCUCACCUUCUCGUUUCACUUUAACGACGUUCGUGCUUUUCUAGUCAAAAAAGCUACGAGGGGGAGGCGUGGUGUGCUGUCCGGGCACCGGAUGCUGAGGAAUACACUCCUCGGGAAGGAUGGACACGCUUCCCACCACACCGCAGCCUUGAAACGCACCACGUCUCGGGACACACCGAUAGCAGAAGCAGCUGUCAAAUGAUGUAUGUUUUACCACAGUAACAAAGCCAAGGGCUCAUCAUCACCAAGCAAUUUUACUGUCAGCUGGUCAUCCUUCUUCUCAACAGUAACAAAGUAAGAGACCACCUUGCAUCAGUGCAUAGAAGCUCGACCUGAUGCCGAAGUGAGUGGGGAAAUAACCCACAGGACUUUCAGAAAUAUAGGCAUGUUCCAGGGGUCCCUUGGCAACUAAACAGAAAGGGGCACACAGGAAGAGAUGCUCUGAACAAAUAGGCCUUUAAGCCAACUUUUCAAGGCCACAUCCAGUUACCCCAUAAGAGAUGAAAAAACACUGCCCAGUCCUGAAGAUCAUCUGCCUGAUGGUGGACAGCACAGAGAAGAUUGCAAAAAGUUACCAGGUACUUUGGGUUCCUCAGUUUUGGAGGUCCAGGUGAUACACUUUGUAAGAGCAUGAUUUGCAGAAGGCAGUUGCUUAUCAUUUGUGAUAAUCAGGCUCCUGUGACAUGUUGCUAGCUGAACACCAAAACCAUCAGCCACUUUGACAACAGUGGCCCAUGUGGUGGUUGCCUUAAUGAGAGCAAUUUUAUAAGUGCCCUUCAUGGCCUUGUAGAGCAUAGGAUAAAGAAUGGUAGAACAACAAAGCAAUGCUGUAACAACAGCAGUGGAGACACGUUGGUCUGAACAUGUGAGUAUGAACCUGGUGACAGAAAAUAAUCAUGUGGCAAUGAGUUUUAUGAAAUUUCAUGGAAGUGAUGAUCAUAUCCAGCUCAUACUUAUUUUGCUUUCACCACAAAAAGAAUAGCACCUCUGCUAGAAGCUAAUGUUCCAACAUGGAAAACCUGAAAAAGUACCUUUAGCUCUUUUUAUAAAGGAGGCAUAUGGAACAAAGUGGUCACCAAUAUGCUAUUUUUAGUGCCUGAACUACAGUCCAGAAGAUAAUACCCAAUUACUUGAUAUAGUGCUCUAUACACUCUCUGAACAACAAUAGUGGACUGAGAAGCAAGAGAAAGCACCAGAAUAUGGUUUUGAAGUCAUUCAGAUUUCAUGUAUUUUAUUUUCUUCUAAAAAUAAAGGCUUUGAAAAGAG